CAGGCAAGUUAGGUCACUUCAGAGAAAUGUGGCAAGGAUUAACGGAGGUGAUACAGUUCCUGGCACAGUGCCUGACACCUACUCAGUGGGGUGGCAGUGGAAUGGAGCAGCAAUGAAGAGAACACCGAAACAGGCUGGGCACUCCCAUCCACCAUGAUCUCUGCCAGAUCAUCUUCCAAGGCAUGUAUACAAGAGAAAGGCCUGUGCCCAGGACCUGCCUCCCCCUGUGAAACUGCCCAAGGAUACACAGAGCUAUCUGGGGAAACAGAAAGAAUAGUCCUUUGGCCUCCACUCACCUGGAACAGAUCAAAUGACAUCACAAUUCCAUCCCUCCAUCGCAAUGCAGCAGGUUAUCCUGAAAAUAAAAGACAUCCAAACUCA